rnacentral:ribozyme from 1 species
UAAAAAAAAAAAAAAAAACAAAAAAAAAAAAAAAAAAAAAAAAAAAAAUUUUUUUUUUUUUUUUUUUUUUUUUUUUUGUUUUUUUUUUUUUUU